GUGGGGAAUAUUGGACAAUGGGCGCAAGCCUGAUCCAGCCAUGCCGCGUGAGUGAUGAAGGCCUUAGGGUUGUAAAGCUCUUUCAGUGGGGACGAUAAUGACGGUACCCACAGAAGAAGCCCCGGCUAACUUCGUGCCAGCAGCCGCGGUAAUACGAAGGGGGCUAGCGUUGUUCGGAUUUACUGGGCGUAAAGCGCACGUAGGCGGAUCGUUAAGUCGGGGGUGAAAUCCUGGAGCUCAACUCCAGAACUGGCGUCGAUACUGGCGAUCUUGAGUCCGGAAGAGGUGAGUGGAACUCCUAGUGUAGAGGUGGAAUUCGUAGAUAUUAGGAAGAACACCAGUGGCGAAGGCGGCUCACUGGUCCGGUACUGACGCUGAGGUGCGAAAGCGUGGGGAGCAAACAGGAUUAGAUACCCUUGUAGUCC
rnacentral:rRNA from 1 species